rnacentral:lncRNA from 13 species
UAGGCAAAUCGGCUCCCCCUUGUGGAAUGUCUUCUGUGGCAGAUUAUUCAAUUCUGCAGUGGAAAAGAAGAGAAGCAAAUAAGGAGAAGAGAUGAAACUACACAUAGAAGUAGCUUAUGCGACACCUUAGACAUAGAUAAGGGUUUCACCAUGUUUGCCGGGCUGGACUUGAACUCCUGACCUCGUGAUCUACCCGCCUCAGCCUCACAAAGUGCUGGGAUUACAGGUGUGAGCCACUGCACCCAGCCUGAACAUGUAGCUUUCUUUAGUCUGUAAUUAUGACAUAAUAAAUGGACUGAUUUUCAAAUAUUUAACCA